GCAGUCGUGGCCGAGUGUAUAAGGCGAUGGACUAGAAAUCCAUUGGGGUGUCCCCGCGCAGGUUCGAAUUUUUUCGACUGCU
rnacentral:tRNA from 1 species